GCCAGACUCCUACGGGAGGCAGCAGUGGGGGAUAUUGCACAAUGGGGGGAACCCUGAUGCAGCGACGCCGCGUGGGUGAAGGAGUGCUUCGGCAUGUAAAGCCCUAUCGGCAGGGAAGAAGCAAGACGGUACCUGACUAAGAAGCCCCGGCUAACUACGUGCCAGCAGCCGCGGUAAUACGUAGGGGGCAAGCGUUAUCCGGAUUUACUGGGUGUAAAGGGAGCGUAGACGGCAAUGCAAGCCAGAUGUGAAAGCCCGGGGCUCAACCCCGGGACUGCAUUUGGAACUGUGCAGCUGGAGUGUCGGAGAGGCAGGCGGAAUUCCUAGUGUAGCGGUGAAAUGCGUAGAUAUUAGGAGGAACACCAGUGGCGAAGGCGGCCUGCUGGACGAUGACUGACGUUGAGGCUCGAAAGCGUGGGGAGCAAACAGGAUUAGAUACCCGUGUA
rnacentral:rRNA from 1 species